rnacentral:rRNA from 1 species
GUGAGGAAUUUUCCGCAAUGGGCGAAAGCCUGACGGAGCAAUGCCGCGUGAAGGAUGAAGGCCUAUGGGUUGUAAACUUCUUUUCUCAGAAAAGAAUUAUGACGGUAUCUGAGGAAUAAGCAUCGGCUAACUCUGUGCCAGCAGCCGCGGUAAGACAGAGGAUGCAAGCGUUAUCCGGACUGAUUGGGCGUAAAGCGUCUGUAGGUUGUUUCACAAGUAUUCUGUCAAAGAUUAGGGCUUAACCCUAGAUAGGCAGAAUAAACUUUUAAGCUAGAGUUUGGUAGAGGCAGAGGGAAUUCCCGGUGGAGCGGUGAAAUGCGUAGAUAUCGGGAGGAACACCAAAGGCGAAGGCACUCUGCUGGGCCAAUACUAACACUGAGAGACGAGAGCGAGGGGAGCAAAUGGGAUUAGAUACCCGAGUAGUCC